rnacentral:lncRNA from 1 species
AAGUGUCUAUCCUUCCUUCAAUAUUCCCUACCGAGUUAUAUCCUCGUGGAUGAUGGUUGUUUCUGCUUCCUCCCAACACAUAUAUUGGGAUGGAAUUCCCCAUUGAGUUAUAUCCUCAUAGGGACAAGCUUUGUUUCAUCGUGCCUAUCUAGUUUGAUCCUAGACUGGCCUCUUAUGACUGUUUCCUGCACUCCCCUGUGGUAUAGAUGAAUAAGUUGCUCAGUAACUAGUAAUCGU